UUGAGCAAUAGUCAUCUCAUCUUGCUUUGUACUAUCAAUCUUAUUUCUCAACUCAUACACCUGUGCAUCAUUGCCCACAUGAGAAUAAGCCUGAGAAGCAACACUCCAAUUGGUAGCUGCACUAUUUAAUAAUAAAUACCCACGGGCUAUCUAAGGUUGCAUAGAGUUGAUGAGCCAUGACAUCACGAGUGAGUUCUUAGAUUCCCAUUGGCUGUUGGUGGAACUAGUACUCUCCAGUUUUGGUUUAUCUCCGGUAACAUAUCGUUGUAGUCCUCUAGCUUGAAUAAACAGGAGACAGGUGUAAUGAAUACUAGUAAGGAGA
rnacentral:misc_RNA from 1 species